rnacentral:rRNA from 1 species
AUUGAACGCUGGCGGCAGGCCUAACACAUGCAAGUCGAACGAGUGGCGGACGGGUGAGUAAUGUCUGGUAAACUGCCUGAUGGAGGGGGAUCACUACUGGAAACGGUAGCUUAUACCGCAUACCAUCAGAUGUGCCCAGAUGGGAUUGGCUAGUUGGGGGGGUAACGGCUCACCAGGGCGACGAUCCCUAGCUGGUCUGAGAGGAUGACCAGCAACGUUGGACCUGAGACACGGUCCAGACUCCUACGGGAGGCGUCAGGGGGGAAUAUUGCACAUGGGGCGCAAGCCUGAUGCAGCCAUGCCGCUUAUAUGAAGAAGGCCUUCGGGUUGUAAAGUACGUUCAGCGGGGAGGCGUUACCCGCAGAAGAAGCACCGGCUAACUCCGUGCCAGCCGCCGCGGUAAUAC